rfam:Dipodomys ordii contig_6625, whole genome shotgun sequence.
GGGAAUGUGGCUUAGUGGUAGAGUGCUUGCCUAGUAUGCAUGAAGCCCUGGGUUCAAUUCCUCAGUACCA